UGGGGAAUAUUGGACAAUGGAGGAAACUCUGAUCCAGCACUUCUGUGUGUGUGAAGAAGGUUUUAGGACUGUAAAACACUUUUAGUAGGGAAGAAAAAAAUGACGGUACCUACAGAAGAAGCAACGGCUAAAUACGUGCCAGCAGCCGCGGUAAUACGUAUGUUGCGAGCGUUAUCCGGAAUUAUUGGGCUUAAAGGGCAUCUAGGCGGUAAGACAAGUUGAAGGUGAAAACCUGUGGCUCAACCAUAGGCUUGCCUACAAAACUGUUGAACUAGAGUACUGGAAAGGUGUGUGGAACUACACGAGUAGAGGUGAAAUUCGUAGAUAUGUGUAGGAAUGCCGAUGAUGAAGAUAACUCACUGGACAGAAACUGACGCUGAAGUGCGAAAGCUAGGGGAGCAAACAGG
rnacentral:rRNA from 1 species